UACGUAGGGGGCAAGCGUUGUCCGGAAUCAUUGGGCGUAAAGCGCGUGUAGGCGGCUCGAUAAGUCUGCUGUGAAAGUUCAGGGCUCAACCCUGAAAUGCCGGUGGAAACUGUCGAGCUAGAGUCCGGAAGAGGCGAGUGGAAUUCCUGGUGUAGCGGUGAAAUGCGCAGAUAUCAGGAGGAACACCAAUGGCGAAGGCAGCUCGCUGGGACGGUACUGACACUGAGGAGCGAAAGCGUGGGGAGCGAACAGG
rnacentral:rRNA from 1 species